rnacentral:rRNA from 1 species
CGCGCAGGCGGCCAAGUCAGUCGAAUGUGAAAGCCCCCGGCUUAACUGGGGAGGGUCAUUCGAUACUGCUCGGCUCGAAGACAGGAGAGGGAAGCGGAAUUCCCGGUGUAGUGGUGAAAUGCGUAGAUAUCGGGAGGAACACCAGUGGCGAAGGCGGCUUUCUGGCCUGUUCUUGACGCUGAGGCGCGAAAGCUAGGGGAGGCAAACG